rnacentral:lncRNA from 1 species
CCAUGAGAACCUUGAUUUGUAAUAACAGCUCUUCCCCCACCCCAGGCUGUUCCCUAGCUGGGAUUUCAUUUCCCCAUGGCACAGACUAAUAAUUAAGAGGCCUUGGAAGAGCAGGGAGGGAGGGGUCAGGUUUCCCCCCCAUCAAGCAGAGGGGGCGGAUGACGGAGGCCGGAUGGUUUAUAGGGAGCUGGAGGUCGGGAAGCUGCAUCCCAGCUGCAGAGAUUGCUUAAUUCCAGCUGCAGUGAGUGGGGCUGGGCUGGUGUUCGGGGCUCAGUGGGGCUGGGGUGGCGUGUGGAGGCAGUGGGACUGGAGCAGUGUGCAAAGAGGGGAAUGGGGGCUUGUUGGCCAGGAUGGGGGACCUGGGACACGCCAAGCCCAGUGACCAUGCGGCCUGCAGUGUCCAUCGCACUGAUCCUCGUGGCUCUGACGGUCCUGGCAGACUCUGCUCAGGCUCAACCCACAGAGCCAACCCUGACCAAAAAGUUGGAGAACUUCCAGAACAAGCUGCAGGCCUUUGCUGACAGCAUUGCAGAUAAAACCAAAGCCGCCUUCCAAGAACUGCAUCACAGCGAGUUCAGCGAAAAGACCCGGAACUGGUUCUCUGAGCAAUUCCAGAAGAUGAAGGAGAAGUUCAAUGAGCAGUUUUCCAGGGACUGAUCUGACUGAGAGGGUUUUUUUUUCUGCAGAGCUCACAGGCAAUUCCUGGGGUACUGCUCCCCUUGAAGAGAUCAUGCUGGGAGGGGAACCCAGGGUUGGCACCCAAGUUCCUGUUUUCUAUUGCUUUUGUUGUAGCCAUGAAUAAAUGCUGAUUGCCUUAGUGCUGGGUUUGUAUC